rnacentral:misc_RNA from 1 species
UUUCCGUAGGUGAACCUGCGGAAGGAUCAUUAUUGUAUAACCGAGGUGCGAGGGCUGUCGCUGACCCGAAAGGUCGUGCACGCCCGAGUGCCCUCACACACAUCCAUCUCACCCUAUGUGCACCACCGCGUGGGUCCCCCUUUGGCUUGUUCGGAGGGGGGCUUACGUUUUCACACAAACUUUGUAUGCAGUGUAGAAUGUAUUUUUUGUUUUUGCGAUCACGCAAUCAAUACAACUUUCAACAACGGAUCUCUUGGCUCUC